AACCAGGCUAAACAAGCUUCAUCUUGGCAGAUGCACUUUGCACCAAAUGUCAUUAUCCCAUCUUUAUAUGGCUGGACUUUUCCCAUCUUGGAUUUUAUAUAUUAUAAAUAUCUUCCCAGAAAUCACCACCACUGAAACUGGCAACCCUGCUGACAGUCUCCAUAGAGGGGCCAAGAACUGAAUUCAUGGAUGCUAUACACUUUGCCUCCAGGAAAGACCAAAACAAGAAACCUGUCUGACAAAGAAACAACACUGUGUGAGGUGCCUGGUACUUCCUCCUAGAGUGCUGCCUGGAUGCUUGCGUAUGAAAAGUGGUUACAGUUAAUGUUUGUGACAGAACUGGGGGUGAGAGCACUUUGCAGGGCAGCUUGCAUAGAUCAAGCAGUUUGCUGGGAGCUAUGAACAGCAGAUUCAUCCGUACUAGAGGAAAAUCAUUAGCUAGUCAAUUCCACACAACCAAGAAUAUUGCUUUUCAAAUUUUUGCCAGCAUGUGAGAGAGGCUGUUUGUCAGGGUGAGAAAUAAACACUUUUCCUAUCAGACAUAUGUGGACAAGGGCAUCCAAAAAAAUCAUCCACAAAUAAAUAAUUGGCGUCCUUUGAGUGUGACAGUGUGGAGACAGCAAAGUCGCUGUAUCUAUUUCUUCUAUGUAUACCUGAGCUGCAUUGUGCCUCGGAGAAAGAUGCAGAUUUUCAGCAUGAAAGCAAGUUUCCCAAUUGUAAUUUGAGAUGCUAGAAAUGUCCAGCCCAAUUACUGAGCUAUCCAAAAUUUUGUUGCCCUCUGGUCACUUCCUCCCAACCUGAAACGUCUCAGUUUGAGGCAUGGUAUCAGCUGAGCAGACUGCUCAGUCUCUCAGUGUCCAGUUCGGUUAGCCAGUCUCUCUCAGGGCUUUCAUCUCCCCUCCAAAAGUGGAGGAAGGAACCCAAGUCCCUGCUGCUAGAGCAGCCUUCACAAAGCCAUUGCUGCACCCUGCACAGCUCAGCAUCAGCCUUGCUUCAUGGUGCCAUAUGCAGCUCAUUGUCCCUCUCUCUUGGGCUACCCAGGUCCUUUUAAACUGCUCCUCCACUCAGAACAUGCCCUGCACCGGUUGAGGGGCAGGGCCUCCAUAGACUAGUAUUGCUCUACUCCCUGCCCUGGUUCAGUGUGGGGCCAGUAGACCCUGACACAUCUCUGAAUACCACAUGAUGGCUUUGAGCCAUACACAAGACCACAGAGUAAUCUCCAUGUGUGUCUGAGUUCUACACCAAAACAAGAUCAAGUUGGUAUUUUCAUGCAGUUGCAAAAGUAGCUGAAGUAAUUACUGAAGGAUGAAGAAGUCAUUUCAUGCCAUCAUGUGACUGUAUAAGUAAUUAGUGAGGUGAACACUUGCCGCAACAUUUCCACGGGCAAAAUAGAAGCUAAUAAACCAAAUGAAUUGUCAACAAACAAACAAAGUUGUUUCAGUUUCACAAACAUUUUCCAGAUUGGAAAACAAGAAUUUUGAUUCAACUUCGCUAUUUUAUUAUAUCUACUUCA